UGUUAGGACAUAAAUCGCCUAGAUACUAUUCAUAUCAGUGAUAUCACCAUUCAUAUUAUCUUAAUAUUAUAUUAAAAAUUGCAUUUCGUUGGUGAGACAUUGACCAUUAUUCAAUACUGGAAUGCAUUAUUAAAUCCCUGAAAUCAUUAAAAACCAGUUUUACAGUUUAACCAGUAUUGACUUUUUUUUUAGUCAAAACCACCCCAGCUUUCUAAUAUGAAAUGUCAGCUGUUAAAUGAACAGCAGUUUUACACUUUUACUAUCAUUUUUUUAUUACGUCCCAUAUAUAUGACUGUAUAUAGUUUAUCUGUUUAUGUAUAUGUACAGUAUGUAUUGUCUGACCAUGCCCAUCAUAAAACCAGCUUUUACAGAUGAGCCUGUCAUGCUUAAAUAAUGUUUGUUCGUAUGUAUGUAUGUAACUGAAGUUUCCCUUUGUGACCUGUAGGUAUUAUAAAUAGCUAGUACUUUGAAAUGCCAACAAUCAUUUUCUGAUUUUCAUUAAAACCCCUUGAUUUGUAACUUUGAAACCCAUCAAUCUUUUGCCAUUACUCAAGUAGACAAUAUUCCCAAUCAUUUUGACUUCUUCUUUAUAGACUCUUUAAGAGUAUUCACCCAUUCAGUCGCAGUCUCAGAAACAUCAGGAAUUCCAGUGUAAUUUUGUUGCACAUAGCAUCCAGCCAAGGUUCCAAUAAGUAGUCCUAGGAUUAAAUUUUUAUUGAUAUGCGAUAGAAUUACACCAGCAGCAAAACCUCUGAUAAACGAUCCACUAAUUUCUCUUUUAUCGUUUGAACUGUUCCUGUCUUUAUCGUCCGCCAUAUUGGAUUCC